rnacentral:rRNA from 1 species
CCUGAUCCAGCCAUGCCGCGUGUGUGAAGAAGGCCCUCGGGUUGUAAAGCACUUUCAGCGAGGAAGAACGCCUGGCGGUUAAUACCCGCCAGGAAAGACAUCACUCGCAGAAGAAGCACCGGCUAACUCCGUGCCAGCAGCCGCGGUAAUACGGAGGGUGCAAGCGUUAAUCGGAAUUACUGGGCGUAAAGCGCGCGUAGGUGGCUUGAUAAGCCGGUUGUGAAAGCCCCGGGCUCAACCUGGGAACGGCAUCCGGAACUGUCAGGCUAGAGUGCAGGAGAGGAAGGUAGAAUUCCCGGUGUAGCGGUGAAAUGCGUAGAGAUCGGGAGGAAUACCAGUGGCGAAGGCGGCCUUCUGGACUGACACUGACACUGAGGUGCGAAAGCGUGGGUAGCAAACAGGAUUAGAUACCCUGGUAGUCCACGCCGUAAACGAUGUCGACCAGCCGUUGGGUGCCUAGCGCACUUUGUGGCGAAGUUAACGCGAUAAGUCGACCGCCUGGGGAGUACGGCCGCAAGGUUAAAACUCA